CCUUUGNGAACUUAUACCUUACUGUUGCCUCGGCGCUAGCUGGUCCUUCGGGGCCCCUCACCCCCGGGUGUUGAGACAGCCCGCCGGCGGCCAACCCAACUCUUGUUUUUACACUGAAACUCUGANAAUAAAACAUAAAUGAAUCAAAACUUUCAACAACGGAUCUCUUGGUUCUGGCAUCGAUGAAGAACGCAGCGAAAUGCGAUAAGUAAUGUGAAUUGCAGAAUUCAGUGAAUCAUCGAAUCUUUGAACGCACAUUGCGCCCUCUGGUAUUCCGGAGGGCAUGCCUGUUCGAGCGUCAUUUCAACCCUCAAGCCUGGCUUGGUGAUGGGGCACUGCUUCUUACCCAAGGAGCAGGCCCUGAAAUUCAGUGGCGAGCUCGCCAGGACCCCGAGCGCAGUAGUUAAACCCUCGCUCUGGAAGGCCCUGGCGGUGCCCUGCCGUUAAACCCCCAACUUCUGAAAAUUUGACCUCGGAUCAGGUAGGAAUACCCGCUGAACUUAAGCAUAUCAAUAAGCGGAGGAA
rnacentral:rRNA from 1 species